rnacentral:rRNA from 1 species
AGUGAACGCUGGCGGUAGGCCUAACACAUGCAAGUCGAACGGCAGCACAGUAAGAGCUUGCUCUUACGGGUGGCGAGUGGCGGACGGGUGAGGAAUACAUCGGAAUCUACUUUUUCGUGGGGGAUAACGUAGGGAAACUUACGCUAAUACCGCAUACGACCUACGGGUGAAAGCAGGGGAUCUUCGGACCUUGCGCGAUUGAAUGAGCCGAUGUCGGAUUAGCUAGUUGGCGGGGUAAAGGCCCACCAAGGCGACGAUCCGUAGCUGGUCUGAGAGGAUGGUCAGCCACACUGGAACUGAGACACGGUCCAGACUCCUACGGGAGGCAGCAGUGGGGAAUAGUGGACAAUGGGGGCAAGCCUGAUCCAGCCAUACCGCGUGGGUGAAGAAGGCCUUCGGGUUGUAAAGCCCUUUUGUUGGGAAAGAAAAGCAGCAGGUUAAUACCCCGCUGUUCUGACGGUACCCAAAGAAUAAGCACCGGCUAACUUCGUG